UACAGAGGGGGCAAGCGUUAUUCGGAAUUAUUGGGCGUAAAGGGCGCGUAGGCGGCUUGGCAAGUGGAUGGUGAAAUCCCUCGGCUUAACCGAGGAACGGCCGUCCAAACUGCUUCGCUUGAGACCGGGAGAGGUGAGUGGAAUUCCCAGUGUAGCGGUGAAAUGCGUAGAUAUUGGGAGGAACACCAGUGGCGAAGGCGGCUCACUGGACCGGUACCGACGCUGAAGCGCGAAAGCGUGGGGAGCAAACGGG
rnacentral:rRNA from 1 species